GUUUCCUUAUUUGGAUACAGAAAGCCAGUUUUUGUCUGUUUGGUUUUUAUUAUUAAUUAUAUAAUUACCGCCUAUUUUGUAUGUCUCAUUACAGAAAAGUUUAUUUCUUGAGAUUAUCUCAGUUUUAAGCAGUAUAGGUCUUAUAUUUUUGGCUUAUUAUAUCUUUACUCUUGUUAUGAUGCAACAUGGUACAUUAUUUGACCAGAACUGUGGGCUUAUAAAUUGAAAUACACAUUCUCUAAACAUUGGUAACUUUGGAAAUGUUUGAAAAAUAAACAUUGAACACAGAAAAAGAAACUAGAAUAGAUGAAAAGAAAACUGGGAUAUCCAUUGGAAGGCAUAUCUUUGAUACAGCUUCUAUGAGAUUUCCAGUAUUGCAGCUGUUUAAGGUUUAUUCAUACUAAAUAAUGAACACCUAUGAUUUGUUUUUAAGAUGUGUUCAUUAUUUUCUAUUAUUUUAACAUCAUAAAAUGCACUGUUUAUAAUGACUAUCCCCUUGUAAUUUUCAUGGAGAAGUUAACACAAUAAGAUCCACUUGGCAUAAUAUUGUUCAUGGCACAUGGCUAUCAUGUCACUUUCUUAAAUGCUUUUUCAUUUAGAACUUAUUCAUUAGCACAUAAAAUGCCUAGAUCUGUUGUGUAAAUAUAAUCUGUUGUGUAAAAACAAGCUCUCAACUUAAUCUUCAAUAAAACUAACAUUAAACAAAGACUCACAGUUCCUGUUUCUCCUCAAGUCUAUCUAUACCCAUUGACCUUUCCAAUGAGGUCUGUACUACUUGUGCUUCAUUAAAGCAGGAUUAACCUUUCUUUUGUCAUAAGCACUUUGUUGAAGAAAGAUGAUGCCCCAAGCAUGGAAGGAGUCUGACAGAUGGAAAUCUUUUGUUCUAAGGUUAGUUACUAUAUGAUCCAUCUACAGCACCCUUGGGCACUUAUAUGAUACAUUGGACACUUAUACAUCUUAUAGAGAUACAUGCUCAUCAACGUACAUUGAUUUUUCUUCCCAACUGCCUCAAAAUACAUAGACAAUAGAUGUCUAUCACAUAAAAAAUAGACAAUAAAAAUGUACAAUGAUACAAGAAAUAUUAUGUAGUUGUUAAUAAACAGAAAUAAUAAGAUUUAAAAGUAAAUAGAAAAAGUGAAGAACAGUCAUUUUUUUGUGAGUAAACACAAAGUCAGGAGGAUGAUUCUCAAAAACUUCCUUACAAAUGUGAAUUAUAGGAGAGAGUAUACACUAGCAGCUUAACAGCACAUCUGAAAGCUCUAGAACAAAAGGAAGCAAAUAUACUCAAGAGAAAUAGAAAGCAGGCAAUAAUCAACUUAGGCCUGAAAUUAACCAAAUAGAGACAAAGAGAAAAAUACAAAGAAUCAACAAAACCAGAAGCUGUUUCUUUGAGAAGAUCAAC
rnacentral:lncRNA from 1 species